rnacentral:ncRNA from 1 species
UUCUUCGGGGCGGGGUGAGAUUCCCCACCGGCGGUAAAAGUCCGCGACCUGCAAUAGCAGUUGAUCUGGUGAAAUUCCAAAACCGACAGUAUAGUCUGGAUGAGAGAAGAU